CACCUCUGAAAUCUUACCAUUAUCCAUGUCAUGGUUCAGGUUUUGGGCAACACACAAUGGGUUUAGUUGAAUGGCUACCUUCUCAUUUCUCUCAACAAGUAUGGUGUUGUCUCUAGCAUCCAUCUCUUCUCUAUUCUCAUCACCAACCUGCACAUUUGGAAAGAUAAAACUAGAAGUAGAGAUGAGAGUGUUAGUUUCAAAGAUAUCCUCACUUGGCCUGCAUUCUAAAUAUUUAUUUUUCUGUGGUGUAUCCCUCACACUCUCAUUGUUGACACUCUCAACCUCAUAAUGGGUGGAAUCUCUCAACUCUCCUUUGUUUUCACUCUCUCUUAUUUUGGCAAUGUGGCUCUCAUUCUCACAUAGGUUUUGAUGCACAAUUACUUCAACGUCUUGUGAAGCCACAUAUGCAUGUGUAUCGUUGUCAUUGACAAACACUUGUUCUUCCUCAUCGAAGAUUGGGGGC
rnacentral:lncRNA from 1 species